ACCUCAGCGUGCUUGGGUUUCUGCCCCGCGCUGCAUUGUACUCACUGUGGAUACCCUUCUUCCUCCAUUUGCCUCUGCCGACCUGAGCACCCCUCUGUGUGGAUGCCUUCUUCAGCCUUCUCAGGCUUUGGUGGUACCACUGGGGCAGAAGCUGUGAAAUGAGGAAGACUUGUCAAAUGAUCUUAAGGAAUGAAUUUAGCAAUGGAGUGGGAUGAACACUGGUUCACCAGUAAAGCAAAGGGCUGCUGAAAAGAGCAUCAUGUCUAAAAAGUGGCUAAGGGGCAUUCUGUCUCUGUACCACUCUGACGGUUUUAUUAGACGCGGGAGAAAAUAGAAGAGAGCUGGACCCUGCUGUGAAGAUGCUGUAAAUUUCAUGGCUAGGCUUCAUCUGGUAACAAACUGUUGGACCACUUAGUGUUAAACAUAAAAGUUACUCAGCUGCUUGAAGAAAAUGGUAUGACUGCAUGUUGAAAACAGGUACUUAUUAAUAAUUAUAUUCUAUAGAAGUGGAA